CAGUCGCCGCGGUAAUACGUAGGGGGCAAGCGUUAUCCGGAAUAACUGGGCGUAAAGGGUGCGCAGGUGGUUUAACAAGUUAGUGGUGAAAGGCAUAGGCUCAACCAAUGUAAGCCAUUAAAACUGUUUAACUUGAGUGCAGGAGAGGAAAGUGGAAUUCCUAGUGUAGCGGUGAAAUGCGUAGAUAUUAGGAGGAAUACCAGUGGCGAAGGCGACUUUCUGGACUGCAACUGACACUGAGGCACGAAAGCGUGGGGAGCUAACAGGAUUAGAUACCCCAGUAGUCCCUGUCUCUUAUACA
rnacentral:rRNA from 1 species